rnacentral:tRNA from 1 species
GCCAUGGUGGUCUAGCGGUCAGAACGCUGGGCUUGUAAUCCUGGGGUCCUGAGUUCGAUUCCCGGUGGUGCCC